UACGUAGGGUGCGAGCGUUGUCCGGAAUUAUUGGGCGUAAAGGGCUCGUAGGCGGUUUGUCGCGUCGGGAGUGAAAACUCAGGGCUUAACCCUGAGCCUGCUUCCGAUACGGGCAGGCUAGAGGUAGGUAGGGGAGAAUGGAAUUCCCGGUGUAGCGGUGAAAUGCGCAGAUAUCAGGAGGAACACCAAUGGCGAAGGCAGAUCUCUGGGCCGUAACUGACGCUGAGGAGCGAAAGCAUGGGGAGCGAACAGG
rnacentral:rRNA from 1 species